UUUUGCAUGUUUUUGGUAGGCUGCUACAAACUAAGAGUAGGUUAGUCCAAACAGUAAAUACAAGGAAAUGGUCCUAUUUCAUUUUUGAAUCCGAAUUUGUUACAUUUCUGAAUCCUGGGAUAGUAAUUUUGUUCUCAUAUUUUCCUCUCCAGCUUCUAUUGAAGUGUCUGGUUUUAUAUCCAAGGUUUCUCAGGAUUGGAGUUUGGGGAUCCUGGGAGUGUGUUUCAGGUGAAGAUCUUUUUCUUGGAGGAAAUUUAUCAUUAAUAGCUGGGUGGAUUCCAGUGCAGCUGAAGUGUCUGAUACCAAGGUAAAUGACAUUGCUUAAAAAUGAUGGCCGUGAAAUGCAGGUACAUUGCAAAUCACUCAGCUGCAGAGUCUUGGAAUAAGAGCACUGCAGAGCUGAUGUAUGGACUGAUGUUGCUAUUUAAUGUGGUUUCCCAGCAAACCUUUCAUAAAAUUCAUGACUGUAGCUGACCUCUGUUACUGUGUUCCUCUUAGGGGAAAAAAAAAAGGCUAUAACCCAGCUCUCUACAGCAGUGCACUGAAUAGUGAUGUGUGAUGUGAAGCAAGGUGAGGGGAAUCAUGUUCACUUCACCACAGACACUAGAGCUUACAGUCAAGGGACAGUUUGCUGAUGCGUGUUAAUGCAGCAGCCAGCUGAAUCUGAGGCAAAAGGACUGGCUAAUGUGGUGAUGCCUGAGCCACCUCCAGAGAGGGCAAAACACAGUGCAGAUGGUGCAGAUGGUGAAAAAUGUAAUAGUAGAGGUGCUUAGGUACCAUGAAAAUGCAAAAAGAGGCAAAUAGUAUCCAGUCAGACAGAUGGCAUAUUUAAAAGUGAGGGGAGACAGAUGCUGAAGAAGCACUUGUUUUCUUCCUUCCUCUGUGUAAAAUGGUAUAUCAAAAUCUACCUCUCAUUUCUACUUCCUUGUUUUUCAACUUCUCACCAUCCUCAGAAUACUUUAAAUUACGAGAGCUGAGAAGGUAUAGUCUUUCAUAUAUGAUUCCCGUGUUUUGGGAAAUAGAUUAUUGACAGUUACCGGUACACGCCUUUGUCACUAUCACCAACUAAGAAUAAUUUAGCCCUUUUGUUCCUUCAGAUCAAU